GGAAGGGGUGUAUUUAUUAGAUUAAAAACCAAUGCCCUUCGGGGCUCACUGGUGAUUCAUGAUAACUUAACGAAUCGCAUGGCCUUGCGCCGGCGAUGGUUCAUUCAAAUUUCUGCCCUAUCAACUUUCGAUGGUAAGAUAGAGGCUUACCAUGGUGUCGACGGGUAACGGGGAAUUAGGGUUCGAUUCCGGAGAGGGAGCCUGAGAAACGGCUACCACAUCCAAGGAAGGCAGCAGGCGCGCAAAUUACCCAAUCCCAAUUUCAGGGGAGGUAGUGACAAUAAAUAUUGAUUGCGAGCUCUUUUGGGUUUGCAAAUUGAAAUGAGUACAAUUUAAAUCCCUUAACGAGGAACAAUUGGAGGGCAAGUCUGGUGCCAGCAGCCGCGGUAAUUCCAGCUCCAAUAGCGUAUAUUAAAGUUGUUGCGGUUAAAAAGCUCGUAGUUGAACUUUGGAUUUGGCUGGCCGGUCCGCCUCACCGCGUGUACUGGUCCGGCCGAAUCUUUCCUUCUGGGGAGCCUCAUGUCCUUCACUGGGUGUGUUGGGGAACCAGGACUUUUAC
rnacentral:rRNA from 1 species